rnacentral:rRNA from 1 species
GACGAACGCUGGCGGCGUGCCUAAUACAUGCAAGUAGAACGCUGAAGGAGGAGCUUGCUUCUCUGGAUGAGUUGCGAACGGGUGAGUAACGCGUAGGUAACCUGCCUGGUAGCGGGGGAUAACUAUUGGAAACGAUAGCUAAUACCGCAUAAGAGUAGAUGUCGCAUGACAUUUGCUUAAAAGGUGCAAUUGCAUCACUACCAGAUGGACCUGCGUUGUAUUAGCUAGUUGGUGAGGUAACGGCUCACCAAGGCAACGAUACAUAGCCGACCUGAGAGGGUGAUCGGCCACACUGGGACUGAGACACGGCCCAGACUCCUACGGGAGGCAGCAGUAGGGAAUCUUCGGCAAUGGACGGAAGUCUGACCGAGCAACGCCGCGUGAGGGAAGAAGGUUUUCGGAUCGUAAAGCUCGGUUGUAAGAGAAGAACGAGUGUGAGAGUGGAAAGUUCACACUGUGACGGUAUCUUACCAGAAAGGGACGGCUAACUACGUG